GGAGGGUAUAGCUCAUUGGUAGAGUGCAUGCUUAGCAUGCAUGAGGUCCUGGGUUCAAUCCCCAGUACUUCCA
rnacentral:tRNA from 1 species